rnacentral:rRNA from 1 species
AGUCUGAACCAGCCAAGUAGCGUGCAGGAUGACGGCCCUAUGGUGUGUAAACUGCUUUUAUGUGGGAAUAAAGUGGCGCACGUGUGCGCCAUUGCAUGUACCUCAUGAAUAAGGACCGGCUAAUUCCGUGCCAGCAGCCGCGGUAAUACGGAAGGUCCGGGCGUUAUCCGGAUUUAUUGGGUUUAAAGGGAGUGUAGGCGGUCUGUUAAGCGUGUUGUGAAAUUUAGGUGCUCAACAUUUAACUUGCAGCGCGAACUGUCAGACUUGAGUACACGCAGCGCAGGCGGAAUUCAUGGUGUAGCGGUGAAAUGCUUAGAUAUCAUGAGGAACUCCGAUCGCGAAGGCAGCCUGCGGGAGUGUUACUGACGCUUAAGCUCGAAGGUGCGGGUAUCGAACAGGAUUAGAUACCCUGGUAGUCCGCACUGUAAACGAUGGAUGCCCGCCGUUGGCGCCCUGCGCCUGCGGCCAAGCGAAAGCAUUAAGCAUCCCACCUGGGGAGUACGCCGGCAACGGUGAAACUCAAAGGAAUUGACGGGGGCCGCACAAGCGGAGGAACAUGUGGUUUAAUUCGAUGAUACGCGAGGA